CGACUCCGUCAGCACAACGAGACCUUAACCUGCUAUUUAGUCUCGGCGAUUCCGUCCCCGCGACUUCAUAGAGGGACUCUGCGGCGUCAAGCUGCGGUGAGGUUUAAGGCAAUAACAGGUCUGUGAUGCCCUUAGAUGUCCUGGGCUGCACGCGCGCUACACUGAUGCUUGCCUCGUGUUUACCCUCGGCCGACAGGCCCUGGUAACCCCUAGUCUGCAUCGUGUUUGGGAUUGAUCUUUGCAAUUCUAGAUCAUGAACGAGGAAUGCCUAGUAUGCGCAAGUCAUCAGCUUGUGCAGAUUACGUCCCUGCCCUUUGUACACAG
rnacentral:rRNA from 1 species